AACCCGGAGAAAUUCGGACUAAUAUCCCAUAGAAAUAUUGGAAGGCAUCUUUUGAUAUUUAAAGUUCCGGCGGUACGGGAUGGGCAUGCGUAACAUUAGCUAGUUGGUAAGGUAACGGCUUACCAAGGCUUUGAUGUUUAGGGGUCCUGAGAGGGUGAUCCCCCACACUGGUACUGAGACACGGACCAGACUCCUACGGGAGGCAGCAGUGAGGAAUAUUGGUCAAUGGGCGCAAGCCUGAACCAGCCAUCCCGCGUGCAGGAAGACGGCCCUAUGGGUUGUAAACUGCUUUUCCAGGGGGAGAAACUUGCGCACGUGUUGCGCAAUUGACGGUACCCUGGGAAUAAGCAUCGGCUAACUCCGUGCCAGCAGCCGCGGUAAUACGGAGGAUGCGAGCGUUAUCCGGAUUCAUUGGGUUUAAAGGGUGCGUAGGCGGACUAUUAAGUCAGUGGUGAAAUCCUGCAGCUUAACUGCAGAACUGCCAUUGAUACUGAUAGCCUUGAGUUUGGUUAAGGUAGGCGGAAUGUGUAAUGUAGUGGUGAAAUGCUUAGAUAUUACAUAGAAUAUUAAUUGUGUAGGCAGCUUAUUGAGUCGAUAUUGACGCUGAGGCACGAAAGCGUGGGGAUUGAACAGGAUUAGAUACUUUGGUAGUCUAUGCUGUAAAUGAUG
rnacentral:rRNA from 1 species